rnacentral:rRNA from 1 species
GAUGAACGCUGGCGGCGUGCCUAAUACAUGCAAGUCGAGCGAAUGGAUUAAGAGCUUGCUCUUAUGAAGUUAGCGGCGGACGGGUGAGUAACACGUGGGUAACCUGCCCAUAAGACUGGGAUAACUCCGGGAAACCGGGGCUAAUACCGGAUAACAUUUUGAACCGCAUGGUUCGAAAUUGAAAGGCGGCUUCGGCUGUCACUUAUGGAUGGACCCGCGUCGCAUUAGCUAGUUGGUGAGGUAACGGCUCACCAAGGCAACGAUGCGUAGCCGACCGAGAAGGGUGAUCGGCCACACUGGGACUAAGCCACGGCCCAGACUGCUACGGGAGGCAGCAGUAGGGAAUCUUCCGCAAUGGACGAAAGUCUGACGGAGCAACGCCGCGUGAGUGAUGAAGGCUUUCGGGUCGUAAAACUCUGUUGUUAGGGAAGAACAAGUGCUAGUUGAAUAAGCUGGCACCUUGACGGUACCUAACCAGAAAGCCACGGCUAACUACGUGCCAGCCGCCGCAGUAA